GACGAACGCUGGCGGCGUGCUUAACACAUGCAAGUCGAACGGAAAGGCCCUGCUUUUGUGGGGUUCUCGAGUGGCGAACGGGUGAGUAACACGUGAGUAACCUGCCCUUGACUUUGGGAUAACUUCAGGAAACUGGGGCUAAUACCGUAUAGGAGCUCCUGCUGCAUGGUGGGGGUUGGAUAGUUUCGGCGGUUGGGGAUGGACUCGCGGCUUAUCAGCUUGUUGGUGGGGUAGUGGCUUACCAAGGCUUUGACGGGUAGCCGGCCUGAGAGGGUGACCGGCGACAUGGGGACUGAGAUACGGCGCAGACUCCUACGGGAGGCAGCAGGGGGGAAUAUUGCACAAUGGGCGGAAGCCUGAUGCAGAAACGCCGCGUGCGGGAUGACGGCCUUCGGGUUGUAAACCGCUUUCGCCUGUGACGAAGCGGGAGUGACGGUAAUGGGUAAAGAAGCACCGGCUAACUACGUG
rnacentral:rRNA from 1 species